rnacentral:rRNA from 1 species
AUACGGAGGAUGCGAGCGUUAUCCGGAUUUAUUGGGUUUAAAGGGUGCGCAGGCGGCCGUGCAAGUCAGCGGUGAAAGCCCGGGGCUCAACCCCGGAAGUGCCGUUGAUACUGCAUGGCUGGAAUGCGGUCGAGGCGGGCGGAACGUGGCGUGUAGGGGGGAAAUGCGUAGAUAUGCCACAGAACGCCGAUGGCGGAGGCAGCUCGCCAGGCCUGCAUUGACGCUCGGGCACGAAAGCGUGGGGAUCGAACAGGAUUAGAUACCCUGGUAGUCCACGCCGUAAACGAUGGGCGCUCGUCGUCGGCGGCAGACAGUCGGCGGCCAAGCGAAAGCGAUAAGCGCCCCACCUGGGGAGUACGGUCGCAAGGCUGAAACUCAAAUGAAUUGACGGGG